GCACAGGCAGCCCAAUGGAAACACAGGAACAUCCACCGUCACUGGGGGAGGAAGGCAAGUCCUGCCUGCAGCCCUGCUCAGAGAGAAAGCAGCUGAAAGGAAACGUCUUAAACAUCAGUAAAGGGGACGCUGACAACUUGACUUUUCUGCCAGCUCUCUGCUUCCUGAGAAACAACAAAGCCUUGGAUUACUCAACAGGAAACCAUAUUUUUUUCAGAAGAAUUUAUUUCAACCAUUGUUUUACACUUACUCUUCUGGAAAACUCAACAGAGGAGCAGUUUCUCCCAAAAAG
rnacentral:lncRNA from 1 species